rnacentral:rRNA from 1 species
CGAAAAGUACUAUCAAUUAAAUAAAAUAGGUGAAACAAAAGAAUAGCGAAGAAGAAGCAAAUGCGCUUCACGCUAAUUCCAAGUACCAACACAAAACAAAUUCAAUGUUUGGUGAAGCAACUUGCUUAGUGGCGGACGGGUGAGUAACGCGUGAACAAUCUGCCCCGUACAAAGGGAUAGCCUCGGGAAACCGGGAUUAAAACCAUAUAACACUUAACUGCCGCAUGGUAGUGAAGUCAAAUCGAUUAAGAGGUAUGGGAUGAGUUCGCGUCUGAUUAGCUAGUUGGUGAGGUAAGGGCUCACCAAGGCGACGAUCAGUAGCCGGCCUGAGAGGGUGAACGGCCACACUGGAACUGAGACACGGUCCAGACUCCUACGGGAGGCAGCAGUGGGGAAUAUUGCACAAUGGAGGGAACUCUGAUGCAGCGACGCCGCGUGAGUGAAGAAGGUCUUCGGAUCGUAAAACUCUGUCCUUGGUGAAGAAAAGGACGGUAGCCAAGGAGGAAGCCCCGGCUAACUACGUG